rnacentral:lncRNA from 1 species
CGUGCUUCAAGGAACGGAUACAGGGAAUGACACCCGUGGUUUUGAUAGUUAGUUCACUAGCAUAAUUAUCACUCAAUCUAUGUACUGUUGGGCCAUGAAAAGUUUCUGAAAAAUCUGAGAAUAUGAUUACAGUGAUUUCAUAUUUAAUGUAUGUUGGGAAUCUUAAUAAAACCUCGCACAGUGUAGCCUUGUUCUUCCAUAGCUGCCUAGCUGGUAUAAUUUAGACUCUAUUUUCAAUUUUCGUUUCUAGGUUCUUCCCCUGCCUGAUUUGCCCUGCAAGAAAUUUGGCACCAACUUCUACGUGGUUCUUGUCUUGCUGACUCUUGGUAAUAAAGUUUGUUCAAUUCCAUGUUUUUAGGGAAGGAUUUGGAUGAUGAUGAUGUCAAUCUUAUACUCUUGAUCAGUAAGUUAAACAUUUUUAGCAUUUUGUCUGCAGUUUCGAGUGAAUUACCGUUUCCCUUACAUUCACUAUUAGAACAGUUUCCAAAACAAUUGUCUCUGACGUCUGGUGGCAUGUUAUUGGCUGAUGGUGUAUCAGAUACCUUCCCAGGCACUCGAGGAGUCUUGAUAUAUGUCAACUUAAGAAAUAAUUCCACACAAAUCAGCAGCAGGAU